rnacentral:rRNA from 1 species
UACGGUCGCAAGAUUAAAACUCAAAGGAAUUGACGGGGACCCGCACAAGCGGUGGAUGAUGUGGAUUAAUUCGAUGCAACGCGAAAAACCUUACCUACCCUUGACAUGUCAGGAAGGCCGGAGAGAUCUGGCUGUGCCCGAAAGGGAACCUGAACACAGGUGCUGCAUGGCUGUCGUCAGCUCGUGUCGUGAGAUGUUGGGUUAAGUCCCGCAACGAGCGCAACCCUUGUCAUUAGUUGCUACGCAAGAGCACUC